GAAGGAGAAGUGAGUAGGAUAUAUAAAGAAGUGUUGAUUCUUGUAUGGGAGUGGCACCUUCUUGAAAAUAGCUCACACAAUAUCAACAUAAAAUGGAAAUUGUUGAAUAAACUUUAAUGUCUCCUAUCACUCUUUCCAAUCUCGGUUGCUUCAUCUCUCCAAUCCUUUGCUUUCUCCAUUGCACCUUUCGUCUCAUCUCAACCCAAAAAAAAGAGUUAUUUCGCAAGGUAAGCUCUAUUUCGCGUAUCCCCUUUUUGGGUGUCUUUGGCGUUGUGGGUGUGUUUUGGCAUUUUGCCCCCGUUUCACAUUGUCUGGCUUCUCUUUGUCUAUCUUUGGCGUUUUUGUUCUCUUUGGCGUUAUUUAUUCAUUUUGUGUUUUGUGAACCCUAAGCCAUCAUUGAUUUUUUGGUCUCUUUCGCGUUGUGAUUU
rnacentral:lncRNA from 1 species